rnacentral:rRNA from 1 species
AACGGGUGGUAAUGCCGGAUGCUCCAGUUGAUCGCAUGGUCUUCUGGGAAAGCUUUCGCGGUAUGGGAUGGGGUCGCGUCCUAUCAGCUUGACGGCGGGGUAACGGCCCACCGUGGCUUCGACGGGUAGCCGGCCUGAGAGGGCGACCGGCCACAUUGGGACUGAGAUACGGCCCAGACUCCUACGGGAGGCAGCAGUGGGGAAUAUUGCACAAUGGGCGCAAGCCUGAUGCAGCGACGCCGCGUGAGGGAUGGAGGCCUUCGGGUUGUAAACCUCUUUUAUCGGGGAGCAAGCGUGAGUGAGUUUACCCGUUGAAUAAGCACCGGCUAACUACGUGCCAGCAGCCGCGGUAAUACGUAGGGUGCAAGCGUUAUCCGGAAUUAUUGGGCGUAAAGGGCUCGUAGGCGGUUCGUCGCGUCCGGUGUGAAAGUCCAUCGCUUAACGGUGGAUCCGCGCCGGGUACGGGCGGGCUUGAGUGCGGUAGGGGAGACUGGAAUUCCCGGUGUAACGGUGGAAUGUGUAGAUAUCGGGAAGAACACCAAUGGCGAAGGCAGGUCUCUGGGCCGUUACUGACGCUGAGGAGCGAAAGCGUGGGGAGCGAACAGGAUUAGAUACCCUGGUAGUCCACGCCGUAAACGGUGGAUGCUGGAUGUGGGGCCCGUUCCACGGGUUCCGUGUCGGAGCUAACGCGUUAAGCAUCCCGCCUGGGGAGUACGGCCGCAAGGCUAAAACUCAAAGAAAUUGACGGGGGCCCGCACAAGCGGCGGAGCAUGCGGAUUAAUUCGAUGCAACGCGAAGAACCUUACCUGGGCUUGACAUGUUCCCGACGGUCGUAGAGAUACGGCUUCCCUUCGGGGCGGGUUCACAGGUGGUGCAUGGUCGUCGUCAGCUCGUGUCGUGAGAUGUUGGGUUAAGUCCCGCAACGAGCGCAACCCUCGCCCCGUGUUGCCAGCGGAUUAUGCCGGGAACUCACGGGGGACCGCCGGGGUUAACUCGGAGGAAGGUGGGGAUGACGUCAGAUCAUCAUGCCCCUUACGUCCAGGGCUUCACGCAUGCUACAAUGGCCGGUACAACGGGAUGCGACGCGGCGACGCGGAGCGGAUCCCUGAAAACCGGUCUCAGUUCGGAUCGCAGUCUGCAACUCGACUGCGUGAAGGCGGAGUCGCUAGUAAUCGCGAAUCAGCAACGUCGCGGUGAAUGCGUUCCCGGGCCUUGUACACACCGCCCGUCAAGUCAUGAAAGUGGGCAGCACCCGAAGCCGGUGGCCU